rnacentral:rRNA from 1 species
AUUGAACGCUGGCGGAAUGCUUUACACAUGCAAGUCGAACGGCAGCACGGGGGCAACCCUGGUGGCGAGUGGCGAACGGGUGAGUAAUACAUCGGAACGUGCCCAGUCGUGGGGGAUAACUACGCGAAAGCGUAGCUAAUACCGCAUACGAUCUAUGGAUGAAAGCGGGGGACCGUAAGGCCUCGCGCGAUUGGAGCGGCCGAUGGCAGAUUAGGUAGUUGGUGGGGUAAAGGCCUACCAAGCCUGCGAUCUGUAGCUGGUCUGAGAGGACGACCAGCCACACUGGGACUGAGACACGGCCCAGACUCCUACGGGAGGCAGCAGUGGGGAAUUUUGGACAAUGGGCGCAAGCCUGAUCCAGCCAUUCCGCGUGCAGGAUGAAGGCCCUCGGGUUGUAAACUGCCUUUGUACAGAACGAAACGGUGCUGGUUAAUACCUGGCGCUAAUGACGGUACCGUAAGAAUAAGCACCGGCUAACUACGUGCCAGCCGCCGCCGUAAAAC